GCUGCAAGUUGCAUCUGGAGCCAUCAGUCCCCUCCUUCCUUCAGUUCUGAAGCUGUGUCUGAUUCACUGUGACAGCCCCUCUCCCAUGAGUCCCAUCAUCCCUCCCUGCAUCUCACUUCUGUUGGGAAUUCCCAAAGCAGAAGGAGGUUCUUUGCUGCUUCCCUUUUCAGAAACUUGGAGACCAUAUAUCUUUGCAAAGUAGAUUUUUAAAAAUAAAACAAAGAAGAAAAGAUUAAACCAGAGAAGCUCCCAAGUUUUCUGCCUUCUGCCUGGACCAGCUUCCUGUGCUUCUUCCUUUCCAAAAUUGAUGUGGUAAAUGUUAUUGCAGUAGCCCUGGCUCACAAAAGCCCAGGCCUUCCAAGAAUGCAACCUUCAUGGAGAAAUUCUGCGACUCGUUCUCCUCUGUGGAGGCUGGAGAGUUAAGAUGUAGAAGGAGAGAGACAAAGAGACAAGGAGAAAUUUGCUUUAUUAGUGGCUUUCAAGAGAAUGAGGCCAGAAGACAGAGUCCUGGACCUUAUCCACUUCAUCAUGAGAUGACAAUGCAAGAAGUCCCUUCCCAGGUGCUGGCAUCUUGAUCCUGGACUUCCCAGCCUCCAGAACUGUGAGAAACAAAUUUCUGUUUAUUAUAAAUUACCAUGUCUAUAGUAUUCUGUUAUAGCAGCACAAAGUGGACUAAGACAUCAUUCAAAAAAAUUUUAAGUACCUACUGAUGAUAGGGAGUGUGCUUAGGAAAUACAAACAUGAAUAUAACAUAGCUCCUCCUGUCACAGAAUUUACAGAUCAGGGGAGAAAAUAGACACGUUUUCCUACGAGAUAACUGAUGACAGUGUAUUUUUGUUAGUAGCAAUUGCUAUAGCAAAUUCUAAGAGAAAUAGCUUUGCUAAUCUGGAUUCACAGAAAACUAACGUGUGCAAAACAUCAGAUAAUGAUUCUGUCAUAGUCCACCUGACUUCCCUUUUGUACUGGUUACUGGGAAGGUCAGAACUGAAGGUGAGGUUCAACUCUAGUUGUUUUUAAUGUCUCCUCUCUUUUUCUCCAACAUGAUUUUCCAUUUUCUAGUUCUAAUGUUAAAUUCAAACUGCAAAAGGCAUUGUAUUUGGCAUAAGUUGGGGUAAUAUCAUGAAUAAAAUGUGUGCUAUUUAGAUCAAUACAAAUGGAAAGUACAGUUGUAGAUCAAUUAGAAUCGUCCCAUUCUUGUUUUUGUGCUUGGGACGGCACCUGCUGAGAACACGUCUUUACUACAACCACUAUUACAACUACCACUGUUUAUGCUACUGCUAGUAAUAACCACAGCAGAAUGUCUGAGCCUAGUAUACCAG
rnacentral:lncRNA from 1 species